GACGAACGCUGGCGGCGUGCUUAACACAUGCAAGUCGAGCGGUAAGGCCUCUUCGGGGGUACACGAGCGGCGAACGGGUGAGUAACACGUGGGUGACCUGCCCUCAGCUCUGGGAUAAGCCUGGGAAACUGGGUCUAAUACCGGAUAUGACCUUUCCUCGCAUGGGGUUUGGUGGAAAGUUUUUUCGGCUGGGGAUGGGCCCGCGGCCUAUCAGCUUGUUGGUGGGGUGAUGGCCUACCAAGGCGACGACGGGUAGCCGGGCUGAGAGGGCGACCGGCCACACUGGGACUGAGACACGGCCCAGACUUCUACGGGAGGCAGCAGUGGGGAAUAUUGCGCAAUGCGCGGAAGCCUGGCGCAGCGACGCCGCGUGGGGGAUGUCGGCCUUCGGGUUGUAAACCUCUUUCGACCCCGCCGAAUUUGGACGGUAGGGGUAGAAGAAGCACCGGCCAACUACGUG
rnacentral:rRNA from 1 species